rnacentral:rRNA from 1 species
ACGCUCGACACCUACGGGAGGCAGCAGUGGGGAAUAUUGCACAAUGGGGGAAACCCUGAUGCAGCGACGCCGCGUGGAGGAAGAAGGUCUUCGGAUUGUAAACUCCUGUUGUUGGGGAAAAAGAGGAUGGUACCCAACAAGGAAGUGACGGCUAACUACGUGCCGGCAGCCACGGUAAUCUGAGCGGGCUGGCAAGGC